GCAAGCAAACUAGAUAUUAAGCUUCAUGAAUGAGUAAUUCUGAUCAUAUGCACUUGCGUGCCAGUUUUUUUUUUUUUCAAAUGUUCAAUAAUUGAUGGUGCAGUUUUGUUGGGAAUCCUAGACUCUGUGGCUAUUGGCUAAAUUCUCCUUGUGGCAAUUCUCACUUGACUGAACGAGUAACAAUUUCUAAAGCUGCCAUACUGGGAAUUGCUCUUGGUGCACUUGUUAUCCUUCUCAUGAUUCUGGUGGCAGCAUGCCGACCUCAGAAUUCUAACCCAUUCGUUGAUGGAUCCUUUGGUAAACCAGGUACCAUGCAUCUCGAGCAACAUACUUGCUUAUUGUGUGAAAGAAUGGGGAUGUUUUCUUUAAUGAACUUUAAAAGCUCAUGCCUGUGAACUUUAUCAGUUUUACUUUAGGGAAUGUACUUCUACCAUCAGCAGAAUUACCUUGAUAUGUUUGCCUUGCCUCAUGAAUUGUGUCAUUAUUACGAUAAACAAGCAUGCAUUAUCACCAAAACGAGAUUCUUGGUUGAGACAAUGAGCUCUUUUUGAAAAUCCUGUGCGAUAGUUUUUGCCUGAAGUGAAAUCAUUGAGCCUGUAAUCUUGCAUUUAACUCCUAUGUUGUUGCUUAAUAGCUGUCUACUAUUCACCACCAAAGCUGGUAAUUCUACACAUGAACAUGGCCCGCCCUACAUGUCUACGAGGAUAUCAUGAGGAUGACUGAGAAUUUAAGUGAGAAGUAUAUAAUUGGUUAUGGGGCUUCAAGCACAGUAUACAAAUACGUUCUUAAAAAUUGCAAGCCGGUCGCCAUCAAGAGACUCUACUCUCAAUAUCCACAGUGCUUGGAGACAGUCUCAAGCUCUGUCUCAAACUCCUUCAAGGAUACUCUCUGUCCCCUUCUGGCAACCUUCUUUUUAACGAUUACAUGGAAAAUGGCAGCCUCUGGGAUCUUCUCCAUGGUGAGUGAAGUUUCUUUUUAAUGACUUGGAUGUCCUGCUCAAGAGCCUCUUAGGUAUCAGGUACAAUGGAUGCAGGCCUUCGCAGUCUAUUAAAGCUCACCAAAAACGUGUCUUUGCAGCCGUCUGGCACCAAUAUCUUCCUCUUCUCAUAUCCAUCUCUUCUGACUUGAAUAUUGGUAUCCAUAAGAUCACCUCAUGAGUUUGGAAUGAAACAGCCGUCCAUUCGUCAUGCGGUCGUGAGGAAUCUGGGUUCAUGCUUGAUGCAUUACCUUGCCUCGUCAUGUGACUGGUGAAAUUUGAGUGACAGAAGGGGUAUCCAUUUAAAUUUUGCAGUUCUUUGUAGCCUCUAAAUGUUGUGGAAGUGUAAUUGGGCAAUAAUCUCGUCAGUCAUUCAAUGAACAUUGUCAUGUAAUCGUGGGGGUUGGACCCUUCACACUUGAUGAGGUGAUUUUGGAUGUAGAUAAGAUCAUCACAAAAAUUUGUUGCUAGAAAAUAAGCAUGAGUAACCGCUGACCUCUUUUGUGGGAA